UGGGGAAUCUUGCACAAUGGGGGAAACCCUGAUGCAGCGACGCCGCGUGAGCGAUGAAGCCCUUCGGGGUGUAAAGCUCUUUCGGCAGGAACGAUAAUGACGGUACCUGCAGAAGAAGCUGCGGCUAACUACGUGCCAGCAGCCGCGGUAAUACGUAGGCAGCGAGCGUUGUUCGGAGUUACUGGGCGUAAAGAGUGCGUAGGUGGUUCUCUAAGUUCGGUGUGAAAUCUCCCGGCUCAACUGGGAGGGGUGCGCCGAAAAACUGGAGGGCUGGAGUGCGGGAGAGGAGAGCGGAAUUCCUGGUGUAGCGGUGAAAUGCGUAGAUAUCAGGAGGAACACCUGUGGUGCAGACGGCUCUCUGGACCGCUACUGACACUGAGGCGCGAAAGCGUGGGGAGCAAACAGGAUUAGAUACCCUGGUAGUCCACGCCCUAAACGAUGCAUACUUGGUGUGGGUCGUUCAGUUGAUCCGUGCCGGAGCUAACGCGUUAAGUAUGCCGCCUGGGGAGUACGGUCGCAAGGCUGAAACUCAAAUGAAUUGACGGGGUCAUAGCUGUUUCCUG
rnacentral:rRNA from 1 species